CCAUCUUUUCCAUCAUCCAGGCCCAAGGUAGAAUCAUAUCAAUCUGUAGAGAAGGGGUUAAACUCGUGAGUUAAAAAAACUCAAUAGAUAUCAUUGGUGCAUUCGUGAUCAAGCUAUACAUUUCAAAGCUGUAACUUUAGAAACCUUUUCAUAGUAGGAUUUUCGGUAGAAUCCCAAACACGUAGAGUCAUGACUUAACACGAC
rnacentral:lncRNA from 1 species